UACGGGGGGGGCAAGCGUUGUUCGGAAUUACUGGGCGUAAAGGGCUCGUAGGCGGCCAGCUAAGUCGGAUGUGAAAUCCCCAGGCUCAACCUGGGAACUGCAUCCGAUACUGGAUGGCUUGAAUUCGGGAGAGGGAUGCAGAAUUCCAGGUGUAGCGGUGAAAUGCGUAGAUAUCUGGAGGAAUACCGGUGGCGAAGGCGGCCAGCUGGGCCGGUUCUGACGCUGAGGCGCGAAAGCGUGGGGAGCAAACAGG
rnacentral:rRNA from 1 species